CAGUCCGCUGUGUGUCAGUCAGCUGUGUGUCAGUCAGCUGUGUGUCAGUCAGCUGUGUGUCAGUCCGCUGUGUGUCAGUCCGCUGUGUGUCAGUCCGCUGUGUGUCAGUCAGCUGUGUGUCAGUCCGCUGUGUGUCAGUCCGCUGUGUGUCAGUCAGCUGUGUGUCAGUCAGCUGUGUGUCAGUCAGCUGUGUGUCAGUCCGCUGUGUGUCAGUCAGCUGUGUGUCAGUCCGCUGUGUGUCAGUCAGCUGUGUGUCAGUCCACUGUCUGUGUGUCAGUCAGCUGUGUUUCAGUCAGCUGUGUGUCAGUCAGCUGUGUGUCAGUCAGCUGUGUGUCAGUCCGCUGUGUGUCAGUCAGCUGUGUGUCAGUCCGCUGUGUGUCAGUCAGCUGUGUGUCAGUCCACUGUGUGUCAGUCAGCUGUGUGUCAGUGAGCUGUGUGUCAGUCAGCUGUGUGUCAGUCCUCUGUGUGUCAGUCCGCUGUGUGUCAGUCAGCUGUGUGUCAGUCUGCUGUGUGUCAGUCAGCUGUGUGUCAGUCAGCUGUGUUUCAGUCAGCUGUGUGUCAGUCAGCUGUGUGUCAGUCAGCUGUGUGUCAGUGAGCUGUGUGUCAGUCAGCUGUGUGUCAGUCCUCUGUGUGUCAGUCCGCUGUGUGUCAGUCAGCUGUGUGUCAGUCCGCUGUGUGUCAGUCAGCUGUGUGUCAGUGAGCUGUGUGUCAGUCAGCUGUGUGUCAG
ensembl:lncRNA